rnacentral:rRNA from 1 species
CAGUCGCCACGGUAAUACGUAGGUGGCAAGCGUUGUCCGGAAUUAUUGGGCGUAAAGGGCUCGCAGGCGGUUUUUUAAGUCUGAUGUGAAAGCCCCCGGCUCAACCCCGGAGCUGCUUUGGGAACUGUAGAACUGGAGUGUCGGAGGGGUAAGCGGAAUUCCCAGUGUAGCGGUGAAAUGCGUAGAUAUUGGGAGGAACACCGGCGGCGAAGGCGGCUUACUGGACGACAACUGACGUUGAGGCUCGAAGGCGUGGGUAGCAAACAGGAUUAGAUACCCGAGUAGUCCCUGUCUCUUAUAC